rnacentral:rRNA from 1 species
AUAAGCGGAGGAAAAGAAACCAACAGGGAUUGCCCUAGUAACGGCGAGUGAAGCGGCAACAGCUCAAAUUUGAAAUCUGGCCCUCGGGUCCGAGUUGUAAUUUGUAGAGGAUGUUUUUGGUGCGGUGCCUUCCGAGUUCCCUGGAACGGGACGCCAUAGAGGGUGAGAGCCCCGUCUGGUUGGACGCCAAACCUUUGUAAAACUCCUUCGACGAGUCGAGUAGUUUGGGAAUGCUGCUCUAAAUGGGAGGUAUAUGUCUUCUAAAGCUAAAUAUUGGCCAGAGACCGAUAGCGCACAAGUAGAGUGAUCGAAAGAUGAAAAGCACUUUGAAAAGAGAGUUAAAAAGCACGUGAAAUUGUUGAAAGGGAAGCGCUUAUGACCAGACUUGGGCUUGGUUGAUCAUCCGACGUUCUCGUCGGUGCACUCUUCCGGUUCAGGCCAGCAUCAGUUUGCUUCGGGGGAUAAAGGCUUUGGGAAUGUGGCUCCCUCGGGAGUGUUAUAGCCCAUUGUGUAAUACCCUGGAGCGGACUGAGGUACGCGUUCUGCAAGGAUGCUGGCGUAAUGGUCAUCAGUGACCCGUCUUGAAACACGGACCAAGGAGUCGUCUUCGUAUGCGAGUGUUCGGGUGUUAAACCCCUACGCGUAAUGAAAGUGAACGCAGGUGAGAGCUUCGGCGCAUCAUCGACCGAUCCUGAUGUUCUCGGAUGGAUUUGAGUAAGAGCAUACGGGGCCGGACCCGAAAGAAGGUGAACUAUGCCUGUGUAGGGUGAAGCCAGAGGAAACUCUGGUGGAGGCUCGCAGCGGUUCUGACGUGCAAAUCGAUCGUCAAACAUGGGCAUGGGGGCGAAAGACUAAUCG